GGAAUUAUUGGGCGUAAAGCGCGCGCAGGCGGAUUGGUCAGUCUGUCUUAAAAGUUCGGGGCUUAACCCCGUGACGGGAUGGAAACUGCCAAUCUAGAGUAUCGGAGAGGAAAGUGGAAUUCCUAGUGUAGCGGUGAAAUGCGUAGAUAUUAGGAAGAACACCAGUGGCGAAGGCGACUUUCUGGACGAAAACUGACGCUGAGGCGCGAAAGCCAGGGGAGCGAACGGGAUUAGAUACCCCGGUAGUCCUGGCCGUAAACGAUGGGUACUAGGUGUAGGAGGUAUCGACCCCUUCUGUGCCGGAGUUAACGCAAUAAGUACCCCGCCUGGGGAGUACGACCGCAAGGUUGAAACUCAAAGGAAUUGACGGGGGCCCGCACAAGCGGUGGAGUAUGUGGUUUAAUUCGACGCAACGCGAAGAACCUUACCAGGUCUUGACAU
rnacentral:rRNA from 1 species